rnacentral:sRNA from 1 species
GGAGGUGAGGGUGAUCUGGCUGCGACAUCUGUCACCCCAGGGUUGAUUAGACUGAUCUGGCUGGCUAGGCAGUGUCCCCUUCCUCCCUCACUGCUCCAUGUGCACCCCCCCGAAGCUGCGUGCUCGGUCGAAGAGGACCACCUUCCCCGAUAGAAGGAGGACCGUCCUUCGGUCAAGGGUAGAAGAGUAGCUGUGCUCCCCUGCUAGACCCUCCAAAGAAGUCUCAAGAAACAGACUGCCACGCCAGUCACCCAGGGAGCAUGCUGGUGGUUUCCAACCGCUGACCCUGAGAUUA